ensembl:lncRNA
AAGAAAUAGAAGGUGCUGCAGCUGAGCACGAUGGCACAGGAAGGCAAAGGGCUCACCUGAGCCAUAUCCGUCCUUCCCUUCUGGAGGGCAUCCCCCUAUUUUACCCACUUCAGUGGUGUAGCCCCUUGGGUUAUGAUCUCAGUGGAGCCUUCUCAGCCACAAGAAGGGGAAACCAGCGCUGAGGUUUCUUUUAUUAUGAUCCUUCCACUUCUGCAGCAUCUUCCUCAGAUAUGCACCUCCAAGACCUGUAACUUCCAGAUAUGUCCAUCUCAGCAGCCAGGAGCAUCCAUUUCUCUCAAUCUCUCUCAGUUCCUCUCCCAUAAAAGGCUCUAAUCCUGGUCUUCCCAUGCAUGAAGGUGCCUCAUGUUGACCUCCUGCAUUGAGAAAUCAUCAGGGUUAGGCACUUGAGGAGCCCAGACGCUUUGGUGCAGGAUGACUCCACACCCAACAGGGACUCAUAGUGCUGGCUCCUGACCUGUGGGGAGCUGAGUGGAGAUGGAGAACCACGGAGAAGAUGUUUCACCAUGUCAGUGCUGGACAGACCUAAAGUUUGAGGGAACUUCGGUAGCCCUCCUCCAUCAGCCCCUUGGAGCUCGCUCUGAAACUUCUCCAUCUCCACCUUUACACCUCUCUCUGAGCAGACCAAAGAGCAGCAGAUGUUUGCCUUCAAUGCACCAAGGAGGCAGAAACAAGGAACUGCUUGUCUCGACGCAGGAUUUCUGACAGCUUUAAAGCAGACAGACACAAGCUGAAAGCCCCCAUUAGCAAUCCGUCGCCUAGGCAAUUGCUCAUAUUCCGUCAUUUUGGCUAAAGUGUCAUUUAGACUAAUUGGCCUUUUUCAGAGGCCAAAUACUACUUAUGAACUCUCUCUUAAAACUACACACAGCCAAUAACUUCUCCAGAUUGAAAUCUGUUGGGCUUAAAGCAUCUAAUUAAGCCGAUGAUAACAUCAACACAACUUCUGCUCAACUCCAGGAGCUGUCAACACACAGAGUUGCCAUUUUCUCUAGUUUUUAUCAUGAAAUCCAUCACAUUUGGCAUUUCUUCCACAUCCCUAGCACAGGGCUCGCACAAUUACGUAUGCAACCCUCAGCUCUCUAAUUUAACUCCAUUUCCAGCAU